rnacentral:rRNA from 1 species
UGGGGAAUAUUGGACAAUGGGGGGAACCCUGAUCCAGCCAUGCCGCGUGUGUGAAGAAGGCCUUAUGGUUGUAAAGCACUUUAAGCGAGGAGGAGGGUACUGGUAUUAAUACUACCAGCUACUGGACGUUACUCGCAGAAUAAGCACCGGCUAACUCUGUGACAGCAGCCGCGGUAAUACAGAGGGUGCGAGCGUUAAUCGGAUUUACUGGGCGUAAAGCGUGCGUAGGCGGCUAAUUGAGUCGGAUGUGAAAUCCCCGAGCUUAACUUGGGAAUUGCAUUCGAUACUGGUUAGCUAGAGUGUGGGAGAGGAUGGUAGAAUUCCAGGUGUAGCGGUGAAAUGCGUAGAGAUCUGGAGGAAUACCGAUGGCGAAGGCAGCCAUCUGGCCUAACACUGACGCUGAGGUACGAAAGCAUGGGGAGCAAACAGG